UGCGACGAUGCCAUUCGUGAACAACAAACAAUCUAUAAAAGAAUUUCAAAAUCAACAAAUUCACAAUUUUAAUAUACGAAUGGUACAAUCCCAAGGCCAAAUAUAAGAAAAUAUUUUCCGAGAUUGCAAAAAUUUGGGACAAAAAAAAUUGAUAAUUUUUUAAAACAAAACAAAAAUUAAUACCUUAAAGCAACAAAGGAAUCGAAACAUAUGGGUUUCAAACAAAGAUAUCAUUGAAGAUGAUGACAGGUGAAGGAUGGAUAGGUGUUUUACCUCAAAAAUUAGGAUGGUAGGUGUUGGAUUAAAGAUGGCUUCUUUAAUGAUUUAAUUUAUGUUGAAUUUUUGAAUGAUUUUGAUGAUGAGAUGUGUUGUUGUUGAUGGUGGUGGUGUAGUUAUUAGAUGAUGAUGUGAUGAUAACGAUGCU
rnacentral:lncRNA from 1 species